UACGUAGGGUGCGAGCGUUAAUCGGAAUUACUGGGCGUAAAGGGUGCGUAGGCGGUCGGGUAAGUCUGAUGUGAAAUCUCAGAGCUCAACUCUGAAACUGCAUUGGAUACUAUUCGGCUUGAGGUCUGGAGGGGGGACUGGAAUUCUCGGUGUAGCAGUGAAAUGCGUAGAUAUCUGGAGGAACACCGGUGGCGAAGGCGACAUCCUGGACCGGUAUUGACGCUGAGGCGCGAAAGCCAGGGGAGCAAACGGG
rnacentral:rRNA from 1 species